rnacentral:lncRNA from 1 species
GAGCCACAUGAGCUACACCAUUUCACACAGGCCUAGAGAGAUAUACGACCUAGCUACACAGCCGUGUACCUUCUUUAAAGUUAGGGUUUUAAUUUUUUUUUCUUUUAUUUCUUCUUAACAUUUUCCCAAUUUUGUGCUUCCAAACACCUCCACGCCCUCAUCGCCGACCGUUCGCCUUCCCGUUUCAUCAUUUGCUCAACCCCCGCCGUCCACUCGUAUCGCCAAUUUCCCAAUUUUCAUCUUUUUUUCCCAUCGUUUCCUCCUCAUUCUUCAUUCCUCACCGCCGUUUCUCUCCCUAACCAUCCCCUUUCCUUCUCACACACCGACGUUGCCGUUCCUCUUCGCCAACGCAAC